rnacentral:sRNA from 1 species
GCUGGGUGCGGUGGCUCAUGCCUGUAAUCCCAGCACUUUGGGAGGCUGAGGCGGGUGGAUCACCUGAGGCCAGGAGUUUGAGACCAGCCUGGCCAACAUGGUGAAAACCCGUCUCUA